AACGAACGCUGGCGGCAUGCCUAACACAUGCAAGUCGAACGAGACCUUCGGGUCUAGUGGCGCACGGGUGCGUAACACGUGGGAAUUUGCCUCGGGGUAUGGAAUAACUCAGGGAAACUUGAGCUAAUACCAUAUAAUGUCUUCGGACCAAAGAUUUAUCGCCCUGAGAUAAGCCCGCGUAGGAUUAGCUAGUUGGUGGGGUAAAAGGCUCACCAAGGCGACGAUCCUUAGCUGGUCUGAGAGGAUGAUCAGCCACACUGGGACUGAGACACGGCCCAGACUCCUACGGGAGGCAGCAGUGGGGGAUAUUGGGACAAUGGGGCGAAAGCCUGAUCCAGCAAUGCCGCGUGAGUGAUGAAGGCCUUAGGGUGUAAAGCUCUUUUACCAGGGAUGAUAAUGACAGUACCUGGAGAAUAAG
rnacentral:rRNA from 1 species